rnacentral:rRNA from 1 species
GAUGAACGCUGGCGGCGUGCUUAACACAUGCAAGUCGAACGGUGAAGGCGGAGCUUGCUCUGCUGGAUCAGUGGCGAACGGGUGAGUAACACGUGAGCAAUCUGCCCCUGACUCUGGGAUAAGCGCUGGAAACGGCGUCUAAUACUGGAUACGAGCUGCGAAGGCAUCUUCAGCAGCUGGAAAGAAUUUCGGUCAGGGAUGAGCUCGCGGCCUAUCAGCUUGUUGGUGAGGUAAUGGCUCACCAAGGCGUCGACGGGUAGCCGACCUGAGAGGGUGACCGGCCACACUGGGACUGAGACACGGCCCAGACUCCUACGGGAGGCAGCAGUGGGGAAUAUUGCACAAUGGGCGAAAGCCUGAUGCAGCAACGCCGCGUGAGGGACGACGGCCCUCGGGUUGUAAACCUCUUUUAGCAGGGAAGAAGCGAAAGUGACGGUACCUGCAGAAAAAGCGCCGGCUAACUACGUG